CCCCCCCCCUUUCCGGCCAUUCUCGUUUCUCUUCUCCCCAGCAACAGCCACAAAUCUGCCUUCUCUCACCUGAAAAAGCCACGGCCUCCAUCGCAGUUUCAGCAGCCCUAGACCCACGGUCGUCACCGAUUAGUUGCAGCGGCUCUCACUGACUCAGGCGACCAUCCCACAGCGGCUCCCUUUCUUCCUCAGGCCGAACACAGCGGCAGCCCGGCUGUCCUCUCCCCAGUCUUCUCUCCGUUCAACUGAUCAACGAAC
rnacentral:lncRNA from 1 species